AGAGUUUGAUCCUGGCUCAGGACGAACGCUGGCGGCGCGCUUAACACAUGCAAGUCGUGCGGUACCGUGGGUAAGUCCUUACAGACGAGCCCUCGGUACAGCGGCGGACGGGUGAGUAACACGUGAGUAGCUGUCCUAAGGAGGGGGAUAACGCCUGGAAACGGGUGCUAAUACCCCAUAUGCCUCGCAAGAGGUGAAAGUGUACUCGUUACAGCCUUAGGGUGCGCUCGCGGCCUAUCAGCUAGUUGGUGAGGUAACGGCUCACCAAGGCUAAGACGGGUAGCCGGCCUGAGAGGGUGUACGGCCACACUGGAAUUGAGAUACGGUCCAGACUCCUACGGGAGGCAGCAGUGGGGAAUCUUGGGCAAUGGGCGAAAGCCUGACCCAGCGACGCCGCGUUGGGGAUGAAGCCCUUCGGGGCGUAAACCCAUGAUGUAGGGGACGAAGAAAGUGACGGUACCCUACGAGAAAGCCCCGGCCAACUACGUGCCAGCAGCCGCGGUAAUACGUAGGGGGCAAGCGUUAUCCGGAUUUACUGGGUGUAAAGGGAGCGUAGGUGGUGCGGCAAGUCAGAUGUGAAAGCCCGGGGCUCAACCCCGGGACUGCAUUUGAAACUGUCGUGCUAGAGUGCAGGAGAGGUAAGUGGAAUUCCUAGUGUAGCGGUGAAAUGCGUAGAUAUUAGGAGGAACACCAGUGGCGAAGGCGGCUUACUGGACUGUAACUGACACUGAGGCUCGAAAGCGUGGGGAGCAAACAGGAUUAGAUACCCUGGUAGUCCACGUCGUAAACGAUGAAUACUAGGUGUCGGGGGUCAAAAGACCUUCGGUGCCGUCGCUAACGCAAUAAGUAUUCCACCUGGGGAGUACGUUCGCAAGAAUGAAACUCAAAGGAAUUGACGGGGACCCGCACAAGCGGUGGAGCAUGUGGUUUAAUUCGAAGCAACGCGAAGAACCUUACCAGGUCUUGACAUCCCGAUGACCGGCCCGUAACGGGGCCUUCCCUACGGGGCAACGGAGACAGGUGGUGCAUGGUUGUCGUCAGCUCGUGUCGUGAGAUGUUGGGUUAAGUCCCGCAACGAGCGCAACCCUUAUCCUUAGUAGCCAGCAGGUAAAGCUGGGCACUCUAGGGAGACUGCCAGGGACAACCUGGAGGAAGGUGGGGAUGACGUCAAAUCAUCAUGCCCCUUAUGAUCUGGGCUACACACGUGCUACAAUGGCGGCCACAAAGGGAAGCGACCCUGUGAAGGUGAGCAAAUCCCAAAAAAGCCGUCCCAGUUCGGAUUGUAGUCUGCAACUCGACUACAUGAAGCCGGAAUCGCUAGUAAUCGCGAAUCAGCAUGUCGCGGUGAAUACGUUCCCGGGUCUUGUACACACCGCCCGUCACACCAUGGGAGUCGGAAAUGCCCGAAGUCAGUGACCCAACCCGGUAGGGAGGGAGCUGCCGAAGGUGGAGCCGAUGACUGGGGUGAAGUCGUAACAAGGUAGCC
rnacentral:rRNA from 1 species